rnacentral:rRNA from 1 species
CAUGCCGUAAACGAUGAUUACUAGGUGUGGGGGGUCUGACCCCCUCCGUGCCGCAGUUAACACAAUAAGUAAUCCACCUGGGGAGUACGGCCGCAAGGUUGAAACUCAAAGGAAUUGACGGGGGCCCGCACAAGCAGUGGAGUAUGUUGUUUAAUUCGACGCAACGCGAAGAACCUUACCAGGUCUUGACAUCCUAUGAAUCCCCCAGAGACGGGGGAGUGCCCUUCGGGGAGCAUAGAGACAGGUGG